AAGACCUUUAAAAACAGUCCCGUGAGGCUGAAAAGGUGACGGUUUAUACACAGGUGAUGUGUAUAGGAACCCCUUUUCUGCCUUUAUGCGAGAAAGGGGUUUUUUGU
rfam:Halobacillus karajensis, HD-03, WGS project CCDI01000000 data, contig: 000001